GUGUCAUGCUGAGGGAUAAACACCAGCCAAUGGCUUUUUUUCACAACCUGGCGCCCCAAAGUUGUUCUUAUUGGCUUAUUUAGGAUGGCUGAGAGAACUUAAGACACUGCAGUUGAAUAAAACACAUGCAGAUAGACAGAUGUAGACAAGUUGUGCAUCAUUGUUAAUGCUUUUUAACAAGAUAAAACACAUUAAUAAAGCUAUUUAUUGCACUUGUUAGAAAGCGGAAGUAGAAUAUCUGAAGACUACAGGCAGACAUACUUUGUUGUGUUGUGUAUAGUGCACAGAUCUCCAUCUUAUCUUCUGCACUGUAUGAUAAUAUCACUUAUCACAAUAUCACUGUUGUUGAAAUUCAAUGUAAAAGAGCUGUCUUGUUCUCUAAAGAAAUCACACAGUAGCCAGAGUAAUGAAUCAGAUUGUUUAUCACGUGUAGAUUCUUCCUGAAAUCACAAGUCAUGUUAAUGUACUUUACACGUCCCUUUGUUGUGUAGGAAGCAGACAGUGUCCUGGUGCGAUGUCUUCUGACCAUUUGUAUGUAGAGAAAACACGAGUUGGAUCAUCUGGGGACUUCAGUCCCCAGAAUCCUCUGCAUCACAUGAGGCAGGUCUGGGCUUAGCCAGGUUGGCCCUGACUCGAGCCUGGUCCACAGCAUCCAGCAGGUUUUUGGAGUCCAUUGCCAGAGUGUGAGCAGCUGCCAACAUCUGCCGCUGACAUUCCUCUUUUAGCGACGUUAUGGAGUUCUGCUGUGCCAGGCGCAUCUUAUUGAUCAGCUCCCCUAAAUCCUUGUUCAGCAGUUUUUUAGUGCCAUCGAUCUGAGAUGAAGAGGAGAGAAGAUGAUAAAAUGACAGACUGGUGAAGUGAGGCCUACCUCUGUUGUGACAGAGCUGUGCAGGGAGGGCAGGAUCUCAUCAACACUUUGGAUCAGGCUACGAAGAGCGAUGCCCACCACCUGAACAAGGGACAAGGGAGGGAGGGAAAGAUAAGGGGAUGGAAGAGGGAUAGAUAUCUCUACAUUUUUACUGUGGUAUUUCUUUAAGAUUUGUACAGCCCCAGAAAAAACAACAACUUCCCAGCUUCUCAGAGAACAGUCUUGUUAAAUGAGUUGUGAAAAGAUGACUUACUCUGACAGCAUUUGGAUACUCGGAGGCGGGCAGCGUGUUGACAUCAUUCUUCAGCUGAACCACCUGUUUCACCAUCGCCAUGACGCAGGUGUACACCUGAUCACCUGAUCGGUCCAUCUCAGCUGUGGGCCGAGGCUACAACAACACAAUACUUACUUUUUAAUGACAAAAUUUAAAAUAUAGCUCCAUUUCAGUACUACACAUGUCAGCUGUACAAAUGGAAAGGAAAGUAAAAAAUCAAAGUAUAUCUCAACCAAAUUAAUAAUAGAGGCGUGUUUUAUUUUUUUACCUUUGAGACUGUGGAAGGCAUUGGUGGCUUGUCUGGAGGACCUGACGGAGAACGAAAAAGCUGCUUAUCUGCACAUUUUCUUGACCCACACAUUUGCUGCACAUACGUAUGUAUGAGAUGCUGUGGACUUCUAUUGUGAACACAGUAACAUUUUGCAUGUUCUAUAUAAAAUAAAUGGUAAA